UACGUAGGGAGCAAGCGUUGUCCGGAAUCAUUGGGCGUAAAGAGCGUGUAGGCGGCCCGGUAAGUCGGUUGUGAAAGUCAAGGGCUCAACCCUUGAAAGCCGACCGAUACUGUCGGGCUAGAAUCCGGAAGAGGCGAGUGGAAUUCCUGGUGUAGCGGUGAAAUGCGUAGAGAUGUGGAGGAAUACCGAUGGCGAAGGCAGCCCCCUGGGUCAAUACUGACGCUCAUGCACGAAAGCGUGGGGAGCAAACAGG
rnacentral:rRNA from 1 species